CCUACGGGAGGCAGCAGUAGGGAAUAUUGCGCAAUGGGGGAAACCCUGAAGCAGCAACGCCGCGUGGACGAUGAAGGUCUUAGGAUUGUAAACUCUUUUUGUUAGAGAAGAUUUUGACGGUAUCUAACGAAUAAGCACUGGCUAAGUCCGUGCCAGCAGCCGCGGCAAUACGGAGGGUGCAAGCGUUACUCGGACUUACUGGGCGUAAAGUGUGCGUAGGCGGGGUAAUAAGUCAGGUGUGAAAUCCUAUCGCUUAACUACUGGACUGCAUUUGAAACUGUGAGUCUGGAGUGUAGGAGAGGUAAGUGGAAUUCUUGGUGUAGGGGUAAAAUCCGUAGAGAUCAGGAGGAAUACUCGUGGCGAAGGCGACCUGCUGGAACGUAACUGACGCUGAGGCGCGAAAGCGUGGGGAGCGAACGGGAUUAGAUACUCGGGUAGUC
rnacentral:rRNA from 1 species